rnacentral:rRNA from 1 species
UAGGGAAUCUUCCACAAUGGACGAAAGUCUGAUGGAGCAACGCCGCGUGAGUGAAGAAGGUUUUCGGAUCGUAAAACUCUGUUGUUGGAGAAGAACAUAUUUGAUAGUAACUGAUCAGGUAGUGACGGUAUCCAACCAGAAAGCCACGGCUAACUACGUGCCAGCAGCCGCGGUAAUACGUAGGUGGCAAGCGUUGUCCGGAUUUAUUGGGCGUAAAGCGAGCGCAGGCGGUUUCUUAAGUCUGAUGUGAAAGCCAUCGGCUCAACCGAAGAAGUGCAUCGGAAACUGGGAAACUUGAGUGCAGAAGAGGACAGUGGAACUCCAUGUGUAGCGGUGAAAUGCGUAGAUAUAUGGAAGAACACCAGUGGCGAAGGCGGCUGUCUGGUCUGUAACUGACGCUGAGGCUCGAAAGCAUGGGGUAGCAAACAGGAUUAGAUACCC